UUCAUAGCUGCGCUCUGAUUGUCAUACGACGUCGUAGAGAAGGGACUCCGUCGGCAUCUAAGCACUAGGGUUCUACGAGUGUACAGUUGCUCGACCAGUUAGUGGUGAAAAUGGAGAAUCAGGAGCCGGAAAUCGAGAAAUUGCCUCAAGACGAUGUUCCUGAUCGAGAACCAGACCAGAAGAAGCUCAAGAUUUCAACUACCGGCCAGGAAACUGAUUCCUCGGCUGUUACCGCCGGCGGAAGCAACGUCGCCGAGCGUAGACCGCCGAAAUACAGACGCAGGAAAGUCGCAAUCGUGUUUGCGUUUUGCGGAGUAGGAUAUCAGGGAAUGCAAAAGAAUCCCGGCGCCAAAACCAUUGAAGGCGAGCUCGAAGAAGCGUUGUUCCAUGCCGGAGCCGUACCUGAGGCUGAUCGGAACAAACCAAGAAAUUACGAAUGGGCACGAUCCGCCCGUACCGAUAAAGGAGUGAGUGCGGUGGGACAAGUGGUUUCUGGUCGUUUUUAUGUUGAUCCGCCUGGAUUUGUGGAGCGUCUCAAUUCGAAGCUCCCUGAUCAGAUUCGUGUGUUUGGAUACAAGCGUGUUGCGCCGUCGUUUAGCUCCAAGAAAUUAUGUGAUCGGAGGAGGUAUGUGUAUCUAAUCCCGGUUUUUGCUCUGGAUCCAUGCGUACAUAGUGAAGCUGAGAUGGUUAGAACGGAUUUAGGUUACGAAUAUAUCAAAUGUGUUGAGUGCUCUGAGAAAGGCUAUAAGAUUCCAGUUGGUGUUAUGGGUAAAGACACUGAUUGUGAUACAAAAUCAUUGGAGAUUCAGUCAGACAUUUCGUCGAGCAACUUUGAUGCAUUAGGAACUGAUGUCAAGUGUGAAACUUUGAGCUCUAGUGUACCUAAUGUAGAAAGUAACUUAAACUCAGAAGUUCUAGAUGGGGCUGAUGUAUCUGCUACGACCGAGAAAACCCCUGAUUCAAGCUCUAAAGCACAUGAUAUGGAAGAAUCGAAUUUGGAUUCUUCGAAAGAAUCGAAUACUUUGGCUAAGGUAGAGAUGAACAAUGGGGGAGGAGGAGACAUGACAGAGAGCAAGUUAUGUUAUGGAGAGAAGGAAAUGGAGAGGUUUAACAGAAUUCUAAGCUAUUAUGUUGGUUCACAUAACUUCCACAACUUCACCACCAGAACAAAAGCAGCAGACCCAGCUGCAAAUCGCUACAUUCUCUCUUUCAACGCAAACACAGUGAUUAAUCUCGAUGGAAAAGAUUUUAUCAAGUGUGAAGUUGUUGGACAGAGCUUCAUGCUUCAUCAAAUCCGGAAAAUGAUUGGACUUGCUGUUGCAGUCAUGAGGAACUAUGCACCUGAAUCACUGAUCGAAACUGCUUUCAAGAAGGAUGUGAGAAUAAAUGUACCGAUGGCGCCAGAAGUUGGAUUAUACCUUGAUGAAUGCUUCUUCACGUCUUACAACAAAAGGUUUAAAGGCAGUCAUGAGGAGGUGUCAAUGGAAGAGUACAAGGAAGUAGCUGAAGAAUUCAAGUGGAAGCAUGUUUACUCACAUAUUGGCUCAGCUGAAGAAAAAGAUGGAGCUGUGGCUAUUUGGUUGCAUUCUCUGAACCAGAGAAACUAUCCUGAUCUACGAUGCAAUGAAUACAAACCGGAUGAAGUCAUUGUCUAUAAGAAGAUUGGUGAAGCCUCUGAAGAAAAUAUCCAUGAAGAGAAAAUUACAGUGAAAGAGAACACUAAUGGCACUGCAGAGCUAUUUGUUGUCGAUAAGGUGAAUGAUGAAACCUCUGAAGGAACAAUUAUGGAAGAGAGGACUACACUAGACGAGAAGGCAACGGAAUGAAGCCGCUUUUUAUCUACUGCGGAUCACUGGAUUCAAGCUUCACACCGCAGGACCAAACCGGACUAGUGAGCCAGAUGAGUAACAUUUGGACAUUUGUUUCAGUGAAAGAGAACACUAAUGGCACUGCAGAGCUAUUCGUUGCCGAUAAGUUGAAUGAUGAAACCUCUGAAGGAACGAUCAUGGAAGAGAGGACUACAGUAGACGAGAAGGCAACCGGGUGAAGCCGCUUUUAUCUACUGCGGAUCACUGGAUUCAAGCUUACCGGACUAGUGAGCCAGGUGAGUAACAUGAUGCCUCAGUUAAAAAAUAUAUUUGGACAUUUGUUUCACUAGUGUCCUUUGAGUUUUGUCUCUCAUGACAAAAUUUUGGAAACUUAAGUCAUGUGUUAGCAUUGUGACAUUUUGAUCUUAUUAUAAUUUUACCGAAUAAGUAUUGGCUAUGCGCCUAUGCCUA